rnacentral:rRNA from 1 species
UACAGAGGAGCCAAGCGUUGUCCGGAUUGACUGGGCGUAAAGCGCGCGCAGGCGGUCCUUCAAGUCAGGGGUGAAAGCCCAGGGCUCAACCCUGGAAUGGCCUUUGAGACUAGAGGACUUGGGUACGGGAGAGGUGAGUGGAAUUCCGAGUGUAGAGGUGAAAUUCGUAGAUAUUCGGAAGAACACCAGUGGCGAAGGCGGCUCACUGGCCCGUUACCGACGCUCAGGCGCGACAGCGUGGGGAGCAAACAGG